UACGUAGGGCGCAAGCGUUGUCCGGAAUUAUUGGGCGUAAAGAGCUCGUAGGUGGUUUGUCGCGUCUGCCGUGAAAGCCCGGGGCUUAACCCCGGGUCGGCAGUGGAUACGGGCAGGCUAGAGGUAGGUAGGGGAGAAUGGAAUUCCCGGUGUAGCGGUGAAAUGCGCAGAUAUCGGGAGGAACACCGGUGGCGAAGGCGGUUCUCUGGGCCUUACCUGACGCUGAGGAGCGAAAGCGUGGGGAGCGAACAGG
rnacentral:rRNA from 1 species